rnacentral:rRNA from 1 species
GAUGAACGCUGGCGGCGUGCCUAAUACAUGCAAGUCGAGCGAACGGACGAGAAGCUUGCUUCUCUGAUGUUAGCGGCGGACGGGUGAGUAACACGUGGAUAACCUACCUAUAAGACUGGGAUAACUUCGGGAAACCGGAGCUAAUACCGGAUAAUAUUUUGAACCGCAUGGUUCAAAAGUGAAAGACGGUCUUGCUGUCACUUAUAGAUGGAUCCGCGCUGCAUUAGCUAGUUGGUAAGGUAACGGCUUACCAAGGCAACGAUGCAUAGCCGGCCUGAGAGGGUGAUCGGCCACACUGGAACUGAGACACGGUCCAGACUCCUACGGGAGGCAGCAGUAGGGAAUCUUCCGCAAUGGGCGAAAGCCUGACGGAGCAACGCCGCGUGAGUGAUGAAGGUCUUCGGAUCGUAAAACUCUGUUAUUAGGGAAGAACAUAUGUGUAAGUAACUGUGCACAUCUUGACGGUACCUAAUCAGAAAGCCGCGGCUAACUACGUG